rnacentral:rRNA from 1 species
UACGAAGGGUGCAAGCGUUACUCGGAAUUACUGGGCGUAAAGCGUGCGUAGGUGGUUUGUUAAGUCUGUUGUGAAAGCCCCGGGCUCAACCUGGGAAUGGCAAUGGAUACUGGCAAGCUAGAGUGCGGUAGAGGGUAGUGGAAUUCCCGGUGUAGCGGUGAAAUGCGUAGAGAUCGGGAGGAACACCAGUGGCGAAGGCGGCUACCUGGACCAGCGCUGACACUGAUGAGCGAAAGCCAGGGGAGCAAACGGG